AUGGCUCUCGCCAGUAGUAGCAGCCGAAUCCUGUGCAGCAGGAAGCCAUGGAGCGAGAGUUCAUCUCCUUCAUGGUCUCACCGCCCCAGAACAUCACCUUUCACUGUCUCCGCGACUCCCAAGAAGAACUCCCCUAGAUCCGGAAGAUUCGACAGUAAGAACCGCCGCAGCAGCCCCGUCAUCACCAAGGAUCAAGAGCAACUAGAAGAAUUCAUCCAAGACACGCCUGAUAUUAACGCCGUCGAUGACGGAUUCGUCAUGCCGGAGCUCCCCGGAGAUAAGCCCAGCUUCUGGGAAGGCAGUCAGUGGGACGGCCUAGGGUUCUUCGUUCAGUAUAUGUGGGCUUUCGGCAUCGUUUUCGCGUUAGUCGCUUGUGGCGUUGCUGUGGCUACAUACAACGAAGGGGCGACAGAUUUCAAGGACACUCCUGUAUACAAGGAGUCGGUUCAAUCUAGAGACCUUCUUGAUGAACCAGAUGCAGCAAACUCAGACGUAUUCGAGUCGAAUCCAACGGAACAAGCACCUAGUUUGGAGUAGUGGAUAAAUAUUUGAUCCUAAAAGUUGUAACAACAGACACAGGAAAGAAACAUAUGUAUCUGGGAGGUAGAAGGGUUGAUAUUGAGUUUGCAGAGGAGGGGCAGGUGGAGAGCGAGAGUGGUGUUGAUGGGCAACGGCGAUUCUGGGCCGGAGUUGUCGAGCAACACGCAGAGGCACGUGACGUUUUGUUUGUAGAGCUUCUCGACGCUGUCGCAGCACGUGCGGACGGGUGCAGGGGCGUUGCCCUGCACAAAUGGUCCGCAUGGGGCUAGAGGCAGCAGGCUCAGUCCGCAGUCUGCAACUGUGUUGAGGGCAGCGGCAGGCCGCGGCGGUGUGGAUAUGAACAAGACAAGGAGUGCGAUGGGGAGAGAAUGGUGAGGAGGCAUUUUAUUUUUUAUUUUUGUAUAACUAUUAUUAUUUGGUUGAUUCAAAUUUGUCUGGUAAUUUGAAUUGCAGUGAUCGUGUUUCAUAAAUAGGUGAGAGUGCAUUGCUUGAGCAUGAUCAACUGUUUGCAGGUCAUGCAUUUCGAAUUAAUUUUUUGGAAUUCCAAAUGUUGGUCAUACAAACUUCAUGCACGUCGAGGAGUGGAUGCUCAUGGUUGCUUCAUGAUUGAAUAUCAAUUUUUUUUUCUUUUUUUUUCUUCUCUUUUUAAGGCUGUUGGUUAUUUACUUUAUCCAAAAUUCUUGUCUCAUUCGUUUUA